AGUGAACGCUGGCGGUAGGCCUAGCACAUGCAAGUCGAACGGCAGCACGGUAAGAGCUUGCUCUUACGGGUGGCGAGUGGCGGACGGGUGAGGAAUACAUCGGAAUCUACUUUUUCGUGGGGGAUAACGUAGGGAAACUUACGCUAAUACCGCAUACGACCUACGGGUGAAAGCAGGGGAUCUUCGGACCUUGCGCGAUUGAAUGAGCCGAUGUCGGAUUAGCUAGUUGGCGGGGUAAAGGCCCACCAAGGCGACGAUCCGUAGCUGGUCUGAGAGGAUGAUCAGCCACACUGGAACUGAGACACGGUCCAGACUCCUACGGGAGGCAGCAGUGGGGAAUAUUGGACAAUGGGCGCAAGCCUGAUCCAGCCAUACCGCGUGGGUGAAGAAGGCCUUCGGGUUGUAAAGCCCUUUUGUUGGGAAAGAAAAGCAGCAGGUUAAUACCCCGCUGUUCUGACGGUACCCAAAGAAUAAGCACCGGCUAACUUCGUG
rnacentral:rRNA from 1 species